GACGAACGCUGGCGGCGUGCUUAACACAUGCAAGUCGAACGGAAAGGCCCCUUUGGGUUUACUCGAGGGGCGAACGGGUGAGUAACACGGGAGUAACCUGCCCUUUAUUUCUUUUUAACUUCGGUAAACUGGGGCUAAUUCCGGUAAUAAAGCCUUCCUCCUUGGUGUGGGUUGGAAAGCUUCUGGGGUUUUGGAUGGAUUCGCGGCGUAUCAGCGUGUUGGUGGGGUAGUGGGUUACCAAGGCUCUGAGGGGUAGCCGGCCUGAGAGGGCGACCGGCGACAUUGGGACUGAGAUACGGCACAGACUCCUACGGGAGGAAGCAGUGGGGAAUAUUGCACCAUGGGCGGAAGCUUGAUGCAGCAACGCUGCGUGCGGGAUGACGGCCUUCGGGUUGUAAACCGCUUUCAGCAGGGGCGAAGCUUGUGGUGACGGUACCUGAAGAAGAAGCACCGGCUAACUACGUG
rnacentral:rRNA from 1 species